GAGGCCGGAAUGCUUGGGUCCCCCGGGAGCCGGCGGGCAUGAGAGAAGGGAGAGAGAAUUCACUUUUGUCGAACGCCGACCGUGUACCAGGCACUCUCCCGGGCUCUCACCCAUCUGGAGAUGGGAAAACCGAGGCUCAGGCGAGGUAGGCAACUUCCCAAGGUCACAAGGUGAAGGCUCCGCUGAACCCUGAGGUGGUGCCCACGCCAGCAGCUAGCGUGUUGCUGAUGAGUCCUGCACUACUGGUCCCAUUUUACAAGCGUCUGCUGAGUCUCCAGGCAGGGAAAGGAACAAGAGAGAGAGGACAUCUGGAACAAGGAAAGAAGCCAGAGAGAGGGAAAAGUUGAGAGGAAAGGAAUGGAGAAUGAUGAGACAGAAGGUGAGAGCUGGAGUUGGACCAAGGGCAUACACAGGUGAGAGCAUCCAACCCCCAACGCAUGUGGUCAGCAAUUGCAAAGGAAAGAAAAUGAAAAAGAAACCAAUCCAGUCAAGUAUUUACUACCCGGCUGUUCUGUGAAGGGUUCCACUCCUUGGGGAGGUUCUCCUAUAAUUUCCUGACCUCAGGACACACCAGAAAUUUUCUCAGCCCUUUGUGCCAGCUGCUCCCUUCCCCACCCUUCUCUGCCAGGUGAAAGACUGCAAGGAGCUCAAGAUCCACCUUAGGAUGAUGGUAUCAGGAAGUGGACAGUGAUUAAGUCAUGAAGAUGGAGCCCUCAGGAUUUCAAUUAAUGCCCUUAUAAAAGAGCCCCCUACCCCCACACCAUGUAUAGAUUCAACGAGAAGCCUGUGACCCUAAAGAAGGCCCUCACACGACCAUCCUGGCGCCCUGAUCUCCGACUUUCAGCCUCCAGAACCGUGAGAAAUGAAUGUCAGCUGUUUAUAAGCUACCUGUCUACGGCAUUUUGUUACAGCAGCUGAACAGACUAAGAUGAUUAUCAUGACAGGCCGGGAGUGCUGCUGGGUUGAGCCCAGGGAUGCUGUUCAACAUCCUACAGCGCACGGGACAGCCUCGCAACAAGGACUCAUCAGCCCCGAUGUCAGUAGCACCGAGGCUGAGAAACCCUGCCCUGGAUGUUCACUCCUUAUUGCAUGGAUAACAUGUGCAUGGAUAAUACAGUCUCCAUGAAAGUGACAGCUACAAAGCCAGCCUGACAGGGGCAUGGGUAUCAAGUCAAAAACCAUGAGCUGCUUUGCUGUCAGACCCGGGAUUUUUUUCCCCGAAUGGUGGUCAACUCUUGCUGACGUUCCUAGCAGCGUGGAGCGAAACCUCUCAAUGUACACGCCAGCCACACCCCGGACAGUGGGUGUAAACUCAGACUGGGCAACGAGUAUUUCAUGUUUGUGUGUAAAACAGAGUUAAGUUCCAGGCUCAGAUCAUUAUAAACAGGUUUUCCAUCUGCUCACAUUCUCUUCUCUUUCGCUCCCAAGAGGCUAAUGCUCCCUGCCCGAGGCUACAUAGCCAGGAUUCUAACCCUCCACUCUUUAUCUUCAA